rnacentral:rRNA from 1 species
UACGUAGGGGGCAAGCGUUGUCCGGAAUUAUUGGGCGUAAAGCGCGCGCAGGCGGUCCUUUAAGUCUUGUGUUUAAUGCCAAAGCUCAACUUUGGUACGCAUGGGAAACUGGGGGACUGGAGUGCAGGAGAGGAAAGUGGAAUUCCACGUGUAGCGGUGAAAUGCGUAGAGAUGUGGAGGAACACCAGUGGCGAAGGCGACUUUCUGGCCUGUAACUGACGCUGAGGCGCGAAAGCGUGGGGAGCAAACAGG